rnacentral:rRNA from 1 species
UCAAGAAACUUCCACAAUGGGCGAAAGCCUGAUGGAGCGACGUCGCGUGAUGGACGAAGUGCUUCGGCACGUAAACAUCUUUUAUGUGGGAUGAAAUUAUUGACAGUACCACAUGAAUAAGGGGCUCCUAACUCUGUGCCAGCAGGAGCGGUAAUACAGAGGCCCCAAGCGUUAUCCGGAAUCACUGGGCGUAAAGGGUGUCGAGGCGGUUGUAUUAGUCGUUCGUAAAAUCUACGAGCUUAACUUGUAGGCGGCGAACGAAACGGUACGACUUGAGGUUUGGAGAGGUGCGUGGAACUCACGGUGUAGGGGUGAAAUCCGUUGAUAUCGUGGGGAACACCAAAGGCGAAGGCAGCGCACUGGCCAAAAUCUGACGCUCACACACGAAAGCUAGGGUAGUGAAGAGGAUUAGAUACCCCUGUAGUCCCUGAGCGGGCUGGCAAGGCGCAU